rnacentral:rRNA from 1 species
GAUGAACGCUAGCGGCAGGCUUAACACAUGCAAGUCGAGGGGUAGAGUUAGCUUGCUAACUUGAGACCGGCGCACGGGUGUGUAACGCGUAUGCAAUCUACCUUGUACAGAGGGAUAGCCCAGAGAAAUUUGGAUUAAUACCUCAUAGUAUCUUCGGAAGGCAUCUUCUGAUUAUUAAAGUUCCAACGGUACAAGAUGAGCAUGCGUCCCAUUAGCUAGAUGGUAAGGUAACGGCUUACCAUGGCAACGAUGGGUAGGGGUCCUGAGAGGGAGAUCCCCCACACUGGUACUGAGACACGGACCAGACUCCUACGGGAGGCAGCAGUGAGGAAUAUUGGUCAAUGGGCGCAAGCCUGAACCAGCCAUGCCGCGUGCAGGAAGACGGUCCUAUGGAUUGUAAACUGCUUUUAUACGGGAAGAAACACUGCUACGUGUAGCAGCUUGACGGUACCGUAAGAAUAAGCAUCGGCUAACUCCGUGCCAGCCGCCGCUGUAACAC